AUACGGAGGGUGCAAGCGUUAUUCGGAAUCACUGGGCGUAGAGGACGCGUAGGCGGGUUGGCAAGUCAGAUGUGAAAUCCUACAGCUUAACUGUAGAACUGCACUUGAAACUGCUAACCUAGAGUAUGGGAGGGGAGAUGGAAUUAGUGGUGUAGGGGUAAAAUCCGUAGAUAUCACUAGGAAUACCGAAAGCGAAGGCGAUCUCCUGGAACAUAACUGACGCUAAGGCGUGAAAGCGUGGGGAGCAAACAGGAUUAGAAACCCUAGUAGUCC
rnacentral:rRNA from 1 species